rnacentral:lncRNA from 1 species
CACUUCCGGAAGGAAGCGCCCUCCUCCGGCCCAGGCUUGAGGAUGGGUCCCCUUUUUCCCGGCCUACGUUCCACAACUUUCCUCCCCGUGAGAGGUUACUGGGCAGGGCUGUGGCGAGACCUUCGUGUUUUACCCUGACUGUACGGGAAGCUUAGGAAUGCAACUGCGCCAAGGUGAAGCUCCGGGAGAGCACCCUUCUCUUUUCCCGUCCCGUGGAGGAAAGGAUUCUGGCUCUGGAGCCUCUGGGUCGGAGACGCCGGAUAGCACCUCGUUGGCACAGUCUGUGCACCUGCCUUCCAGACAGAAGUCAAAUAAUUGCAAACUUGUGUGUAGUUUUUCCAUACUGUGCUUGCUUGUUGAGGGGAUUUUUGUGUGUAUUAUACUGUGGAGCAAUGGCCUUUGCGGUGAAGCUGAACAAAGGACAGUUGUUCAUAAGGGAUGUCUAUACUUGUGAACGCAGGAAUGCAGAUCUUGGUGAUAACAGGCCCUAGGCAGUACUAAAUUACCCGGAGGGAAGAGAAUGCAUCCCUACUUGCAUUCCUGAGGUCAACGUUUCUGCUUCCUUUUCCAUUGGCUGCACUCUCCCUGCUCAUUGAUCAAUUCUGCUGGUUAAAAAAUAACCAUAUUAAAAUAAAAAAGCCACAUUAUUUUAAAUAAAAUACAAUUACUUUUAAGACAACUAUUUGCAGCGCACCAAUAAUGUUACUACUUUUAAUCUUCACGAUUGUUAGCAAGACGGUGUUAGGGACCUAGUGCUGACCUAGGCAAACAGCCCUUAAGGCAGAUGCAGGCUACCCUCAUGCACUUUUCUGUUUAGAGAGGAGAUGCGAUCAGUUUGUGCAAUCAUAGCGGGAAGAAACUGCUCAGGAAUUUACCGUUAUCACUGUGCCACGUAGCUUCAUUUAAUGGUGGUUAAUUUUCAGUUGUGUACAAUAUGAGAAAUAUCCUAUGCUGUAAGGUAGACAUUGCUAUGUCCAAUUUACAGAAUAAAU